rnacentral:lncRNA from 1 species
AUGUGAAAUUUUCUUAAGUAUUCCUUGCAUGUUUAAGUGUCAUUUUUCUGUUUGUGUCUUAGGAACAAGAUGAGGAAGGUGAUGACGAUGAUGAUGAGGGAGACUUUGAUCCCAAGAAAGAACAGCCCCAGCCGGCUGAGUGCAAACAGCAGUAACCUUGGUGAUCAGGGGAGGUGGAGACCUGCUGUCCAUCAAAUCAGUUGUUAACCAAUCAGCAAGUCCUACUACUUGUACAGGCUCCGCCUUUUUACAAACUCUUACCUGAACGCAAUAGAACGCAAACCAAACUGCGUUUUUUACUAUGUGCAUGACUUCUUUUUCUUUUGUCUUGCGCCCAUCUCGCCCCAUUUAUUUGGCUUCAUUUCAGCCCAAAGCAGGAAGUGACUUGACUAUGUAAAUUGCCAUGGCAUCAUAUAGGAACAGUUGUCUUUAAUAAUGUUGAGUAGGUUACUACUGCCAAACUCAGAGCAUUAUUAGAUAAAAGAGUUUAAAAAUAAGCAAAAAAGGAUUGGAUCCCAAACUUUAGUUUUCAUGGAAAUCGGUCAGUUACUCAGGGUUUUUUAAACACCAACACGAUGUGAGUUUACCAGGAAACUGCUGAACAAGUUUGACUUAAUCUUUCACUGGGGUUGUUAUCAUUUGUUUAGUGUUUUUUAAGAGACAUACAAUUUAAUUUACUUUUUUGAAUGUUCAUUGUCAUGUCAUUGGACUAUUUAUUCUGGUGUCAUGCAGCUAUAUGAUACGGUGCAUUUUGGGGAACGCUUUAAGGCCCAUCUGCAGUUAUAGGCUCGAAGCUUAUUUGAGCAUAGCAGGUUAACAUUUGCGUGAAUACUGCCAAUUUUUUUUUGUUUGUUUUGUUUUGUUGUCGGUUUGUUUGUUUGUUUUGGGGUUGUUUUUUUUAUUUUAUUUUAAAAAAUUGUUUUGGGGUUGUUUUUUUUAUUUUAAAAACAUGUUCAGACUGAAGAUUCAUGUUCUGUAUUGAUAGUGCUCUCUUCUGUUCGGAUGUAGUGGGGUAAACAAGCAUUUACACUGAGCACACUAACUACAAUCACAAGACAAGCCUGUGGUUAUAUAUUUCCAUAUUCCUCAGUCACCCCUGAAAUGCUCCUUCCUCUUGUUUUAACAAGCUUGGUGAGAGUACUUUUUUAAAUUACAAUGUUUGAUAUGAAAGACAAAACUUGAAUCUUGAAUUUCCCCCAGCCCAGGCCUCACAUCCAGUCUGAAUAUUCUCCGCACAGAUGACAGAUUUAAGCAAUGGCCAACCCCUGGGCUUUUUGUGGCUGUUUAUAAGAUAGCACUUCUGGUAUGCAUCUAGCGCUAAACAAGUGUCAUUUAGAGUCAAUGUUGGAACACAAAGUGUGGAUAAAAUGUAAAUUCUGUUGCCAAGAAGCCAAAAUGAAAGACGCCGUUCUGGUUCAUUAAAUUGUUUGCCAAUUGUCAUUAACACAGUGUAAUCUAAUUCAGCAUUUAAAGUUGUUUCAGAAUAUAUAAGUAUUUGUUAUUGUCUACUUAUUGAAUCGGUAGAAAGUGGGAAA